rnacentral:ncRNA from 2 species
GUAUUCCUUCGGGGAAUGGUGAAAUUCCAUAUCGGUGGUCCCUGUAUCACGUAGGAUACAGGGUAAAUAAAGCCCACGAUCCGCCAGCUGGCGGAAUGAUUCAGAGACCUACCUGCCGUUAGGCAGGAAUACUGAAGCCGACUGUACAGUCAGGAUGAAAGAAGGAAAAA